GACCAGACUCCUACGGGAGGCAGCAGUGGGGAAUAUUGCACAAUGGGGGAAACCCUGAUGCAGCGACGCCGCGUGAGUGAAGAAGUAUCUCGGUAUGUAAAGCUCUAUCAGCAGGGAAGAAAAUGACGGUACCUGACUAAGAAGCCCCGGCUAACUACGUGCCAGCAGCCGCGGUAAUACGUAGGGGGCAAGCGUUAUCCGGAUUCACUGGGUGUAAAGGGAGCGUAGACGGCGACGCAAGUCUGGAGUGAAAGCCCGGGGCCCAACCCCGGGACUGCUCUGGAAACUGCGUCGCUGGAGUACGGGAGGGGCAGGCGGAAUUCCUGGUGUAGCGGUGAAAUGCGUAGAUAUUAGGAGGAACACCAGUGGCGAAGGCGGUCUGCUGGACAGCAACUGACGCUGAGGCGCGAAAGCGUGGGGAGCAAACAGGAUUAGAUACCCCGGUA
rnacentral:rRNA from 1 species